rnacentral:rRNA from 1 species
GAUGAACGCUGGCGGCGUGCCUAAUACAUGCAAGUCGAGCGAACAGACGAGGAGCUUGCUCCUCUGACGUUAGCGGCGGACGGGUGAGUAACACGUGGAUAACCUACCUAUAAGACUGGGAUAACUUCGGGAAACCGGAGCUAAUACCGGAUAAUAUAUUGAACCGCAUGGUUCAAUAGUGAAAGACGGUGUUGCUGGCACUUAUAGAUGGAUCCGCGCCGCAUUAGCUAGUUGGUAAGGUAACGGCUUACCAAGGCGACGAUGCGUAGCCGACCUGAGAGGGUGAUCGGCCACACUGGAACUGAGACACGGUCCAGACUCCUACGGGAGGCAGCAGUAGGGAAUCUUCCGCAAUGGGCGAAAGCCUGACGGAGCAACGCCGCGUGAGUGAUGAAGGUCUUCGGAUCGUAAAACUCUGUUAUUAGGGAAGAACAAAUGUGUAAGUAACUAUGCACGUCUUGACGGUACCUAAUCAGAAAGCCACGGCUAACUACGUG